GACGAACGCUGGCGGCGUGCUUAACACAUGCAAGUCGAGCGGAGCGGCGAACGGGUGAGUAACGCGUGAGUAACUGCCCCCCUCUCUGGGAUAACAGUUGGAAACGGCUGCUAAUACCGGAUAGUGGGGGAUGACUCGCGUCCUAUUAGCUUGUUGGUGGGGUAGUGUCCUACCAAGGCCACGACGGGUAGCCGGCCUGGGAGGGCGACCGGCCACAUUGAGCUGAGAGACGGCGCGAACUCCGACGGGAGGCAGCAGUGGGGAAUGUUGCACAAUGGGGGAAACCCUAUUGCAGAAACGCGCGUGCGGGAUGACGGCCUUGGGGUUGUAAGCCGCUUUCAGCCAUGACGCGGUAGUGGCAGAAGAAGCACCGGCUAACUACGUGCCAGCAGCCGCGGUAAUAC
rnacentral:rRNA from 1 species